rnacentral:rRNA from 1 species
UACGUAGGCAGCGAGCGUUGUUCGGAGUUACUGGGCGUAAAGGGUGUGUAGGCGGUUGUUUAAGUUUGGUGUGAAAUCUCCCGGCUCAACUGGGAGGGUGCGCCGAAUACUGAAUGACUAGAGUGCGGGAGAGGAAAGUGGAAUUCCUGGUGUAGGCGGUGAAAAUGCGUAGAUAUCAGGAGGAACACCGGUGGUGUAGACGGCUUUCUGGACCGUAAACUGACGCUGAGACACGAAAGCGUGGGGUAGCAAACAGG